GCUGGCGUAGCUCAAUCGGUAGAGCAUCUGACUUGUAAUCAGAGGGUUGCAGGUUCAAGUCCUGUCGCCAGCUCCA
rnacentral:tRNA from 1 species